GACGGGAACCCGGGGCAGCCGAGCAGCAGUUUCUGUGGAGGUCAUCCGGCGCGAGAGGAGCCUUUCGGCGGGAUUGAGAUAUCGCGAGAGUGAGCGCGAGAUUUAAACAAACGAGCAGGGCCUUCGGAAAGAACAGCGUGAAAUGGUGAUGAUGGUGCAGUGUGGGAGAGAGGUGACAUCACAGCCAUGGGUUGGAGCCUGUGGACGUAGAUCCAUACGGUUCUUUCUCAGAGGUGUCCCUUGCUCUGUCUGAAUCUGAUAGGAAUGUGGAGUGACUUCCUUUUGCACGUAUCGUGACAUGGACCAUGUUCCAGAAUUGUGAACUGGGAUUCGAGUUUGAUCUCCAGGCUUAAGAACUGGUGAUUGACUUUAGCCUUCAAGAAAAGAUCAAGAUGACGAUUGUACAAAUAUCGUGGUUUAUCAGGUACUUGACAAAGGUCUUCCAAAAGAAGUGAGGUUUCAGCUGAGUGGUCAACGUAUGCGUGGAUAGGGUUAGAGUGGGGAGCUGGAGACUUUGGCAAGAAGAGGUGGAGGCUAAGCCAUACCAGAAGACAGGGAAGAUAAGGUGCAUCAGGCUCAUCUGAGAUGUACAAUUGUGUGUCAUCUACAUAACUGUGGAGAUCAAGUUUAUGCUCUCUAAUGAAGUCUCCAAAGGGGAGCACGUAUAAGGAGAAUAGCAGGGGACUAAGACAGCUUCCCUGAAGAAAAGUAAAAGCGAAUGCAGACAAAUCUCAAGGUUGCAUAUUUUGUACGUACUUUGAUAAUAAAUGUACUUUGAAUCUUGAAUCAGAACUGAGAGUCUGUUGGCAUCAGUGCUGAGCGUGAGGUUGCUGAUACCUCAGGCCUGAGGUAAAGCCCUUAAACACCUUACACUCCUUCAACACCUCAUUUGAUUCAUAUUGCCUACACCUGAUAAGUAAUUCCUUCCUCUAAACCUAGGCCUCAACAUCACUGGAAAACCAAGGUUCCC